CAUCCCUACGCGGCGCACAAGGGAGCUGAAGAGGAAGCAUUGAGUGCUCCCUCGCGCGCCCGCCUGCCCGACCGGCCACCUGCCCAGGAGCCCAGCAGCACCACUGGACCCCAGGGAAUCCCCCAGCACUCCAAAAGGUAAGGAGGCUGGGGGGAUUAAAUUUCAAAACAAAAAAGUUAGUGUUAGUGUGAGUGUUAGUGUGAGUGUUAGAGUGAGUGUUAGUGUGUGUGUCUGCUAGUGAGCGUUAGUGUGUGUGUCAGUGUUAGUGUGAGUGUUAGUGUGUGUGUCUGCUAGUGUUAGUGUGUGUUAGUGUGUGUGAGUGUUAGUGUGAGUGUUAGAGUGAGUGUGAGUGUUAGUGUGUGUGUCUGCUAGUGAGUGUCAGUGAGUGUGUUACUGUGUGUGUCUUACUGAGUGUGUGUGUUAGUGAGUCUGUUUGAUGUCUGUUAAUGAGUGUGUGUUUGUCAAUGAGAGUGUAUGUUUUGUAAGUGAGUGUGUAUGUAUGUCUGUCGCUGACUGUGUCUCUGUCAGUAAAUGUGUGUGUCUGUUAGCUAGUGUGUAUGCGUCUGUGUGAGAGUGUGUGUGUCUUCAGCACUUACCUUUCUCCAGCGCCGGACUCCCUUGGCGCUGGGGAUCCCUCAGCCUCUCAGCUCCGAAUGCGACCGCGCACGCAUUCAAACCGCCCAUAGGAAAGCAUUACUCAAUG